UAGCAUAUAAUUAACCGAAGGAAAAGAAACUAACUAGGAUUCCCUCAGUAAGGGCGACUGAACCGGGAAGAGAUCAUCUUGUGAAUCUGUACAGGCUUGCCUUGUACCGAGUUGUGAUGUAUAGACGCAAAAUCAGUGGGGGUUCUGGACUAAGUCCCUUGGAAAAGGGCAGCAGAGAGGGUGAGACUCCCGUUCUUGUCUAGGACUUGUCACUAUGGUAUUUGUUGUCAACGAGUCGAGUUGCUUGGGAUUGCAGCUCAAAGUGGGAUGUAAAUUCAUUCUAAAUCUAAAUAUUGGUGGGAGACCGAUAGUGUACAAGUACCGUGAGGGAAAGAUGCAAAGAACUUUGAAAAGAGAGUUAAAGAGUACCUGAAAUUGCUGAAAGGGAAGCAAAGGAAACCAGUGCUUUGCCUACUAUUUUUCUCUUGCUGCUUGCAGCUAGGGCGCUGUGGUAGGUUUUAGGCCAGCAUGGGUUUGGCUUGGGACAAAUGGCUCUUCAGGAGGUAGGUUCUUCGGGACUGUUAGACUGUUGAGUUCUGUCUUUGGCUGGAUCGAGGCUAGUCACUAUGUGCAUGUGAUGCUGGCAAAAUGGUUUUCUUUACCCCGUCUUGA
rnacentral:rRNA from 1 species